GGUAAAGCCCAAACACCCAUCAGUAGGUGUUGAUAUUUUCUGUUGGCGUUCUUCCUUCCUCCAUGAUACCAACAACAUCUCGAGACUUUUCUUGUCACCAACUCUAGGGAUCCUCCAUCUUCAGAAUUCUGUUUCCUUUGACAGUCUUGACAACCCAUAACCUAUUCUUGAAUUGCACUGAUAUGCCAGGUUUGGGUUUGUCACUUUUCACAUCAGGGUGUUGGUGAACCAAUUCUCCUUCCUUAUCUGCCGC
rnacentral:lncRNA from 1 species